AGGAAGGAGAACCAUCUGAGAAAUGGGAGCCUAUCUUGUCCUGCUGAAACAAAAGAGUUGAUGUAUCUUUCUGCAUGUGGAAGGUGCUCAUCAGAAGCACUGGAACCACUUGGAGCAGAUGACAAGUUUUGAAGGUCACAUGUUGGUGGAUCACAAAUUCACUCAGUCCAGUAGACAGAGACACAGCUAAAGCUGAACUUCAGCAGCUACUCCAAGAAAAUGGGACACAGAGGGAAUAUACAGCCAGGACUGCAGAAGAAGCCUUUAAGUUUCUGAAGAUCCACAGCCACAAGUGAAUGCCAGCACUGAGAUGGAGAAACCAGCCUGGCCAAGAGCCCUCCGCCCCAGGCCAUUACAGGAAGCUGUCGGCUUGCAGAAGGACCUGGGAAAUGAUGGUAGUGAUGACAGGAAAGAGAAGAGCUCCUGGUUAUUCUGUGCUCUCUAGUCAUCCACCCCGCCAUGGCCAUGGCCCUGCUCUCAGCUGAGCCCCGCUCUCCAAACUGAGCAAAGCGCUUCUGCAGAGCUGAGUCGCAGCAGAAGCCACAGCACUGUUCAGGAGGAGAGACUGAGCUCUCUGAAACUCCCCGGAAGUGGCACAAAGGUCCUGGCUAAGGAUUGUGAAAUCCUCUAAGGAGCACAGAUGGACAAGGCCAGGGGCAACGAGAGAGAAGAUAAGCUGCUGCUAAUGGCUGGGAAACGGUCUUUUGUGUGGACUUAUCUUGAGGAAGAUGGCCAUCUCAGGAGGUAUGCCCAGGACUCUUGCUCAAGCACCCAGGAAUGUCAUGUAGGCAGGAGAAAAUGGAGGAUAAAAGAGGGUCCAACAACCACGGCGAGGUAGAGGCUUAUCUCUCACCACGACAGACUUGAGGGGUUCUCUGCCAUCUGAUCCUUCACCACAACGUGGAGACUGAUCUCUCACCACGACACGAGCUUCCUGCCUUCAGAUUCUUCUCUACAGACCGUUUGCUGACGGACUUCCCUGGGCCUGCUACCUGAGACCUGCUGCUUCCUCCCUGACCUGCACCCUCUCGUUGCCCAAGACCGGCCCCGCUGCUCCUGCCCUUCGGCCUCAGACCGUCGGAACAUCGUGUAACGGGACUGCUGCUGGAUCCUGGUGGUGACUAUCCCUGCUUUACGCAAUUCUUGCCUCUUUCUAUCUUUUCUAUCGCUCGCCUUCCCUUCCCCAUCACCCCAAUCCUUAAUAGUGUCCGUCCUCCCCUUUCCCCAUCUCCCUUAUUAACAUUUGUAAUAAACUGGUCGGACCAACAUUUGAACCGUUGUUUCUUAAUCUCACGCUGGGCAUACAUAUUUCAAAGAACCUCCUCUCCCUCCUAUAAAUUGGAGCGAGACACCGUCCCUCAUGUGGCACUGGUUAGUGGGCAUGAUAAGGAUGGUUUGACAGUUGGACUUGGUGAUUUUCGUGGUCUCUUCCAACCGUAAUGUUUUUAUGAUUCUAUGAAACCGAAACAGUAUUUAACACUGUACUUAAGAGAUCACAAAUCUGGAUCCCCUGUGUAAUAAAAUUAGUCCAUGUGAGAUGUGUUAUUCUUAAAACACAUCUUGUUGCCACAAACUUCCGUUUUUUUGAAUAGGUAAAGUUUGUCUAGGCAUUAAAAC
ensembl:lncRNA